AAUACCACCCUUUAAUGUUUGAUGUUCUAACGUUGGCCCGUAAUCCGGGUUGCGGACAGUGUCUGGUGGGUAGUUUGACUGGGGCGGUCUCCUCCUAAAGAGUAACGGAGGAGCACGAAGGUUGGCUAAUCCUGGUCGGACAUCAGGAGGUUAGUGCAAUGGCAUAAGCCAGCUUGACUGCGAGCGUGACGGCGCGAGCAGGUGCGAAAGCAGGUCAUAGUGAUCCGGUGGUUCUGAAUGGAAGGGCCAUCGCUCAACGGAUAAAAGGUACUCCGGGGAUAACAGGCUGAUACCGCCCAAGAGUUCAUAUCGACGGCGGUGUUUGGCACCUCGAUGUCGGCUCAUCACAUCCUGGGGCUGAAGUAGGUCCCAAGGGUAUGGCUGUUCGCCAUUUAAAGUGGUACGCGAGCUGGGUUUAGAACGUCGUGAGACAGUUCGGUCCCUAUCUGCCGUGGGCGCUGGAGAACUGAGGGGGGCUGCUCCUAGUACGAGAGGACCGGAGUGGACGCAUCACUGGUGUUCGGGUUGUCAUGCCAAUGGCACUGCCCGGUAGCUAAAUGCGGAAGAGAUAAGUGCUGAAAGCAUCUAAGCACGAAACUUGCCCCGAGAUGAGUUCUCCCUGAGACUUAGAGUCUCCUGAAGGAACGUUGAAGACGACGACGUUGAUAGGCCGGGUGUGUAAGCGCAGCGAUGCGUUGAGCUAACCGGUACUAAUGAACCGUGAGGCUUAACCUUACAACGCCGAAG
rnacentral:rRNA from 1 species